GGAAGCAGUGCAAGCAGAGAAAGAGUUAAGUCAGCCUCACUAUGACAUCAGCCUCAUUUGCAUGGGAGGGAGGAUAUAGCUGCUCCGCAGAGCUCCGUACGCUACAGUUCGGAGCUGCCGCCUUGGAGAGCUGACUUACUGGUGCGCCCUGCCCGUCACUGCUUAAUCUGCAAAAAUGUCUGACAAACCAGAUAUGGCCGAGAUUCAGAAAUUCGAUAAGUCUAAAUUGAAGAAGACAGAAACACAAGAGAAAAAUCCACUGCCUUCAAAAGAAACAAUUGAACAGGAGAAGCAAGCGGGUGAAUCGUAAUGAAAUCUGCCCUGCCAAUAUGCACUGUACAUUCCACAAGCAUUGCCUUCUUAAUUUUACUUCUUUUAGCUGUUUAACUUUGUAAGAUGCAAAGAGGUUGGAUAAAGUUUAAAUGACUGUGCUGCCCCUUUCAACAUCAAAAGAAUAAAGAACUACUGACACUGAAUUGAAAUGAAGGCCCAGCCGGCUGCCUCUUUCCAUCUGCCUGUCCUGGCUAGUUUGGGUCCUGGCAAGCUGUAAAAUGCAGUUAAUCAGAGUGCCAUUUUUUUUUUUGUUCAAAUGAUUUUAAUUAUUGGAAUGCACAAUUUUUUUAAUAUGCAAAUAAAAAGUUUUAAAAUCUGGCUGGUAUUGCUGUGUAAUCUUUGGAAGAUCAAUGUUGCAAGAAGAAACCUUGAGGGUCUGUCAGUGACUUCACAAUGGUAGGGGCUUCCUUUGGAAAAAGCAAUAAAUACUCCUCAAAAUUGGUUUUUCUAUGUUGGGUAAAUCCUAUUGCAGAUAAGAAUUUUCAUCCUGAUUAUGUAAAAUAUCUAUAUGUAACUAGCAUUAUGUACCAGUUACUCAUGACUUUGUUUUCUUAGAUUUACUUUUAUUAGAAUUUGUCUUUAUUUACCUGUGAUGAUCAUGUUAAAGUAUUGUGGAAGGAAAUUGCUAUAUCCACAUUUUGCGAUUCUUUUUGUAUGACCUCACUGGAGAUCAGUUUGCAAUUUAAAUAGCACUUCAUAAAAUUAAUCAAUUGCAUUGCAAUUUGCAUUGGUGCAAAUAGAGCCUGGAUGAGAAUUUUCUAUUUAGUCACAGAGGGGUUAUACAUGUGCUUUCACCUUAUUGUUGGCCUAAUUUCUAUUGAAUGGUAAAAUCU
rnacentral:lncRNA from 1 species